GAUGAACGCUGGCGGAGUGCCUAAUACAUGCAAGUCGAACGGUAACAGGCCGCAAGGUGCUGACGAGUGGCGAACGGGUGAGUAAUGCAUCGGAACGUGCCCAGUCGUGGGGGAUAACGCAGCGAAAGCUGCGCUAAUACCGCAUACGAUCUAUGGAUGAAAGCGGGGGACCGUAAGGCCUCGCGCGAUUGGAGCGGCCGAUGUCAGAUUAGGUAGUUGGUGGGGUAAAGGCUCACCAAGCCAACGAUCUGUAGCUGGUCUGAGAGGACGACCAGCCACACUGGGACUGAGACACGGCCCAGACUCCUACGGGAGGCAGCAGUGGGGAAUUUUGGACAAUGGGCGCAAGCCUGAUCCAGCAAUGCCGCGUGCAGGAAGAAGGCCUUCGGGUUGUAAACUGCUUUUGUACGGAACGAAACGGUCUGGGUUAAUACCUCGGGCUAAUGACGGUACCGUAAGAAUAAGCACCGGCUAACUACGUGCCAGCCGCCGCCGUAA
rnacentral:rRNA from 1 species